rnacentral:lncRNA from 1 species
UCAAGUGGAUGACAUGAAUUUAAGACCUCAUUGUCAGCAUUUUAACCUGAGUAAACAAGGCAUCUCUUUCUCCAGUUUCAAAUAAUAUUUGCUAAAUUGCUUUGAAAAAAGAAACAAGUUAAGAUCUAUCAAAUUUUGUACUUAAGAAAAAUCUAAGGAACUGACUUUAGGAAAAUGUAAAAAAAGCUUAUAUUACUUUUACUUAAUUGCACUACAAAUAAUUUGUUAAUUUUCUUAUAAAUGUGUAAACAUCAAUUUUAAUUGCAGGAAGUCCUCCAGUAGCAACUGAUUAUGUCUAAAUUAAAUCAAGCUAUAUGUUAAUUUGGGGAACAGAGUGUGAAAGAUGUGCUUGGUUUGAGGUAUGGGGAUUAAAUUACAAGGAGCACCACAUUGAAGAGAGAGUUGUGUCUGGAACUCACUGUUUUGCAGUAGUUCUCCCAAGUCAAUGGCUCUUACAACAUCUUUACCCACUCUUCUGUAAUUGUUCCUGAGCCUUAUAAGGAAAUGUUAUUGUAGAUAAGCUAUGCAAAGCUGAGCAAACAGUGCAUUCAGAGCAUGACAGGUAUGUUGCACACAUAAAUUUACAGAAGCUAUGUGUUGUAGGUUUUUAUUGCUGUGAAGAGACACCAUGACCAAGGCAAUUCUCAUAAAUACAAACAUUUAAUUGAGGCUUGCUCACAGCUUCAGAGGUUCAAUCCAUUAUCAUAAUGUCAAAAAGCAUGGCAGCAUCCAGGCAGACAUGGUGCUGGAGAAGGACCCUAGAGUUCUGCAUUUUGAUCUGAAGGCAGUCAGAAGGUUUCUGUCUUGGGCAGUCAGACAAGAAAAAAGAAGCUCUCUUCUGCACUGGGUAGAGCUUGAGCACUAAGAAACCUCAAAGCCCUCCAAUACUUUAACAUACUUCCUCCAACAAAGCCACACCUAUUCCAAUAAGGUUAUACCUCCUGAUAGUGUCAUCCCGUGAGCCAAACAUAUUCAAACCACUACAUCCAAGGAGUUCAUCUAGAGUUCAUCUGGACGAAAUCAAGAUAGCCACAAACCCAGCAUGGAUGGAGUUGAAACCUAUGAAGCCCGACUCCUAACUGAAGACUCAUUGGCAAUUGAUUCCUGAAAAAUGCAGAGGAGAAUGCUUGAAGCCAACCAUCGAAAUGAGCACGGGGACCCCAGUGGAGGAGUUAGAGAAAG